CGGUUAAACACGGUGUUGUAUUGAAUUUGUUGUAUUGUUGUAUUGAAUUUGUUGUUGCGUUGUUGAUAUUGUAUUCUGUGGUUUAUUGUACUAAAAAAAAUUCUAAGUGUGCUGUAUCACUACUGAACAUGAUGAACCAUUCACCGUGUCUAAAUAUGGUGAACCAAUCACCGUGUUUAGACACGGUGAAUCUGUAAGGACUGAGAUUUUGACAGUGCAACUAAACUUUCUGUUGACGAUAUUUAUGUGUGUAAUUUAAUUACAUAAGCACUCGUCAAGUUUCAGGAGAAAACGAGUUAGAAUGGAGAAGUUACACGAUUAUUAGUUUUCACUUAAGUGAAUAGUAACUCCGAUUUUUCGGAGAAGCUACGGAGUAGAGUUGGCUUUCGACGCAUAUCGGACUCCGUUCAUAGCGAUCCAAUAGCUCGUUUUGAUUGGUUCAGCUAUUCUGGAACCAAUGGCAUUAACGGAUUUCAGAUCUGAUGCACGGUUUUCGAGAAAAAAGAGUUUUAUCAAAAAGAGGGUUUUCGUUCUU
rnacentral:lncRNA from 1 species